GACGAACGCUGGCGGCGUGCUUAACACAUGCAAGUCGAACGGAAAGGCCCUGCUUUUGUUGGGUGCUCGAGUGGCGAACGGGUGAGUAACACGUGAGUAACCUGCCCUUGACUUUGGGAUAACUUCAGGAAACUGGGGCUAAUACCGGAUAGGAGCUCCUGCUGCAUGGUGGUGGUUGGAAAGUUUCGGCGGUUGGGGUUGGACUCGCGGCUUAUCAGCUUGUUGGUGGGGUAGUGGCUUACCAAGGCUUUGACGGGUAGCCGGCCUGAGAGGGUGACCGGCCACAUUGGGACUGAGGUAGGGCCCAGACGCCUACGGGGGGAAGCAGUGGGGAAUAUUGCGCGAUAGGCGGAAGCCGGAUGCAGCGUCGCCGCGUGCGGGAUGACGGCCUUCGGGUUGGAAACAGCUUGCGCCUGUGACGAAGCGUGAGUGACGGUAAUGGGUAAAGAAGCACCGGCUAACUACGUG
rnacentral:rRNA from 1 species